CUGCUCCGGAAGCUACAGAGAGCCUACAUUUUACUUAAGAAUGCCCACCUGUAAAUACUAACAAAAGAUAUCCUUUUCAGGCAAAAUUCAAUUUCAUGUUCCUGCCUGUAUCCUAAUGUGUUCUCGAGCUUAAAAAAAAAAAAAUCUGAUCUUUAUCCUUCACCAGGUUCUCUUAGAAACUUUUUAUAGAUGUUUUAUUAAGAAAAGUUGCAGAAGUACUAUAGUAAUCAUAAGAGGUUAUAAGGAUUAGUGUUCUCCAAAUUAAAGUUGUACAUGACACCUACUUAAAGGAUAAUAUUCUGAGAUAGAUAUAGAGAUAUUUUAAGACAUUCUCUCAGAGAUUGGGGGGUUCUACUUAAAUUGUUAGGAUGAAUCAGCUAGUCUAUAUUCUGGAAAAUUACAAUAAUCAAUAAAAAGUAUCUAAUUUUCAUAUCUAGCCUCAACUACUGUCAUCAAAAAAGGGCCUAAAAAAUUGAAAGAUCAAAGGAACCUCUAAAACUUAAUAUAGACCAAAACAAAUUCAGAGAGAUUUUUUAAAAGGUCCAAAUAAAUGUACUGUAGGGUUUCAGAAUGUAUGACAGAUGUCUAAUCUUACCUAGAGAAAUAUUAUGCUAUUACUUGGCUAAACUAUGAAAUAGAAGGCCAUCUUAAAAACAGUUUUAAAGGAGAUUUAUCUUAACCAUGUCCCACUAACACAGAAUAGGGACAACAGGCCUGACAGUUUGGAGCAGACAGUUCCCCAGGACAGAUUGGUAUCUAACAGAUAAACAAAAUGCCUAAAAUAUAAUUUUAGGGGCUGGGGCUGUAGCUCAAUGGUAGAGUGCCUGCCUCACACAUGUGAGGCACUGGGUUCAGUCUUCGGCACCACAUAAAAAUAAAAAUAUUGUAUCCAACUACAACUAAAAAAAAAAGUUAAAAGAGUUUUUAAAAAUCAUAAUUUUAGUAAGUCUUUAGGAAAAAUAUAUUUUUCAUAGAGAGACCUAAAAAGGACAAUACAGUACCUUAAAAUUAUAGGGGGCCACCCAUUUGAAAAGAUGUGUUUAUCUCCAGUUAGCCCUAGACAUUCCAAGGGAUUUACAAAGGUUAACAUAAUUCUAGCCAUGUUUAGAUGUUACAGCAUAGUUAAAUGCAGCACAAAUGAAGAAACAGAAAGGCAAACACAGAGAUUAAAAUGCUAGUCAAAGCUCCAAGAGAAAUAAAUUUCCUGGGUAAAAUGUUUGCUCCUAAGUUACAGAUUUUGAAACCCCCUUAACAUUAAAACAGGGCCUUACUUCAAGCACCUGGCAACAGUUUAUUACUGAAAAAAAAAAAGGGAAAAAAAAAAGUCUGAAAAUAGUUAUGCAAAUAAAUCAGCUCAAUAGUCAAUAGCAUAUUUCAAUAAAAAACUAACAUAAUAGACCUUUUCUCAACUUUAAUAAUAUCUGACAAUGUCCUACAUACAUUGAUAUUUUAAAAUGAAUAAAACCAUAAUUAUUAGCCAAUUUUACUACAUUAAAUAAGUUAUUAAGGGUGCUCAUACAACUGUUUUUUUUUAAUGCACAAAGAUUGUUUGUAAUAGAUCCCUAAAAAUGUUAUUGCUAGCUCAAUGUCAUAUAAAUUCUAAAUUAGAUCACUGUCUUAAACCACACUGUGGACUUGUUUUUACCCAUUAACAUUUGAGAUACUAAUUCCCCCUACUUAGGUGAACAUUAAGUUGAUAACCAUAAUGCCAGUUUUUCAUGGAUUCAUAGAUAAAAGACUAUUCAUUUCUCUAUUUCAUUCUUUAUUAAUGGUAAUAAACAAAAUAUCUUCUCUAGGCUUAUUUAACAUGUACUUCCUAUUUUGGAUAGAUUUCUAUAUAUUUCUCAUGCCCCUAGUAAAGACCACCACUACUACAUUAAUAUCUCUGUCUCUUGCUUCUUUCCAAAUUAAGAUAAAUAUUUAAGUUAAUCUAGAGCUAAUUUCAGCCUGCAAAUAUUUAUAUACAACUUAUUGUAUUCUUUAUUUUUGGUAAUUCUGUUAAAGUCAAAAUCAAGUCAUACAUUUAGUAAAGGGUAAGUUUCUAUUUACCUUGUUCCCAUUAAAUAACUUCUGUCAAGUUUCACAACCAGCUAAAGAUAAUAAAUCUUUUCUUAUUAUUUAAAUACUUGUACUACAUUAAACAUUGCUUAAAACUAAUGAUACUAUGGCUUAUGCCAAGCCUCUACUUAAUUUUAUUAAAUAAAAAGAUGGGAAAAGAGAACCCCACGGCACAUAAUAGAUGUUGCAAAAUAUUUUUUAAAUUUUUCCUAAUUGUGAAUCUGGGAGUCUUACUGCUACUGAACAUGAUUAGUAAGUUAAAUCAAAUUUCAAAAGAGUUUAAACUGGUCAUUGUGGAAAGGUUGAAAAACCUCACACAGGAAGAUAAAUUUCUAGCUGCAUAGUUUACAGCCAUGCAGCUUCAUGGGCUUGUCAGGUAAGUAAAAAUUAUGAAAAAAUAUCCAUGGACCCAUUUCUCAAGUCCACCCUCAAAGAAACACACACACACACACACACACACACACAUACACACGUUGUAGUCGGACACAAUACUUUUAUUUUAUUUAUCUUUAUGUGGUGCUAAGAAUUGAAUCCAAUGCCUUGUACAUGCUAAGCAAGUGCUCUACCACUGACCCACAAACACAGCCUCUCAGGUCCACUUUUGAUGUUCCUUGCAGUGAAGACUAGAAAGUCUAACCAUGCAACUAGAUGAAUUAUACUCACUGUAAUGGUCAGUUAUAGCUAUAUGUUGAUUUUAUGGUAAUCAGGCUGUAUGGCAGUAUCUUUUGAGAAAAAGACAGUAUAUGAGAAUCCAAAACAAGCCAAUUAUGCUGAUCCUUACAAAUUAAGACUAUAUAUAUGGAUAAUUUUCAAAAUAGAAAGAUAGUUGAAAUAGAAAUUUUCUAUAUAGGCCAGUUAUUUACAUAAAAUAUUCAACAAUGUAUUAUUGCCCUAAUAAUUCUGUAAUAGAAAUUGACACAUUUUCUAAAUGGAUAGGUUUGGCCUAUGUAUUGUCAAUAUAACAUAAGGUGUCUAGAAAUUGUCUCCUACAAUUACAUGAAGAUGACAUAACUCUUAGAAACCUGAAUUUUCAGUGAGACAGCACUCAAAAGGAUGUUUUGAUGUUUAUUUCUACCUUCAGAGUGUUUACAUUACUGAUAGAACUAAAAGACUCCUUAAAUGUGAGAAUUGGAAAGAUGGUUAAAUAUUCUGUAACCUAUAAAAGGUACAACUUGCCUAAUUUUAUCACUGUUUAUAGUAGGAUAAAAAGGACAUUGAUCCUCAUCAAUGUCUCUUUGUCCUGUUGCCAGCUAGGAUGCUGCAGUUUAAAUUCAGGCCUUGAAACAGGUGCUUGCCAAUUAACCAGACCUAGGCAAGUUCUUGAUCUCAUGAUCAAUGAAUUGACUACUUAAAAUAUUAUUCAUUGUUCCUAUACUACAGUUUCUGUGGCUAUGUUUUAAAACUUACAACAUGUAAAUUUUCUUAAUAAUUUGACUUAAAUUACUUCCAAGAACCUUCAUAGUCGGAGACAUCUACAUCUCCAUGUUUCUUGCAGUACUGUUCACAACAAGCAAGACAGAAGCAAGGAAAGACAUAGUGUCCACAAGUGGAUGACUGUGUGUAAGUGAUGUGGAACGUCCACUAACGUUCAAUGGGAUGUUAUUGAGCCUUCUAAAUAGGUAAAUUUUGUUUCUGUGCUGAUGUAAGUGAACACUGAGGGCAGUAUUGUGACAUAAAUCAGACAAGAUUACAGUUUGAUCUCUCUCAUGUGACAUCUAAUAAGUCAACUUCAUAGAAAUAGAGUGGAAUGGUGGUUGUAAAGAGGUGGGUAGUGAGGGACACAGGAAGGUUGUUUAAAGUGCACAAAAUUCCAUUCUAACAUCAAUAAAUUUGGGGGAUCUGCUGUGUAACAUGGAGAAUGAAGUUAAUAAUACAUUUUUGUAUACUUGAUAUUUGCUGUGAGAUCUUAAAUAUCCUCACCACACAUACAUCUUAAGUGAUAGAUAUGUUAAUUAAGAGGCUCUGGUAAGCAGUUUACAAUAUCUACUUAUGUAAGCUCUAUGUGUUGUACAACAUGUAUGUGUACAAAUGUAUUUGUCAGUCACACCUCAGCAGAGCAGGACUGAGUCUGCACAUACCCUAUUUUUCAGGCCUGCUUGGUUCUUCAUUCUGAGCUGCAGCCUUCACACUGAAAUUCCACCCAUCCCUCACAGCCAUGAAGACAUUCCACAUCCCAACUCCCACAUGCACAACUGUGUCCUGACAUUUAAUGUUCGUUUUUCUGUGGUGCCUAUCCUAGGGACCUCAGGACAGUCCUUCUUCCUCCCAUUACCCCAAGACCCAUCAUCAGUGCUCUUCCUUCUUUUUUAUUUUCUUUCAAUUCCAUUACCUCAGUCCAUCCCCAUAGCUCCUGGGUCCUACACAACCAAAUGUCCAAGAUUAACUCUCAGGCAUUCUCAACACACAGUUCAAACUCCAAACUGAUUGCAACCAACCCCACCAUCCUCCACCUUUCUUCUGGUUACAUGCCUCUUUAUAUCACUUCUUUCCUGUGUGCCUGGUUUUAAAUCAAGACACUUUUCCUUUUUUCCACUGGUAUUGUUUUGUGUCCCUUAGUUAUACCACAUGGUUGUAAAGACUCAUACUUAGUCUUAAUAUCUAGAAGUGUUCAUCUUUUAAUUUUAUUUUCCUGGUGUUUCUCUUGCACUUUGGGCCAUCACGGCCUCCUUAGCUCUCUACCUACUUUGUUCCCUCCCUCCCGCCCCCCUCCCUCAAUACUCUUUGUGUCAUUUGUCUCUUCCAAGAAACAUUGUGUCUCUCUAGAUUCACCUCUUUGUCAUAUUCUGGGCCUGUUUUGGACAAGUACUUAAUCCAGGACGUGCUACCCCAGCUUUAUUCACAACUUCUCACCACACGUAUGUAUGAAUGCCUCUGAGGCAUUGAAUCUUCUACAAAUUUUACAAUCCGGUGAGCUUCAACAUUUUUCAUGUUCACUCUUCAUCCUCAGGACCACCUUAAUUCCUGUGAAACCAUGUACCCCAUGUAUCUUAUACCUUCUGGGCCCUAUGUCUUUAUGUUCCUUGGCUUUUUGCCCAUGUGUGCCUACACCUAGUCAUGCCAAUGAGCUUUUCCUGGAUACUUAAUGAACUUUGUCUGUGUCCUCUACAUCACAGGAUUUGCACGAUCAAAUUUCCCAAUCCCCCCAUUCCCCAUGUUCUUAUUUAGUACCACUUCAAUCUAAUACCAUUACACAAAACAUACCUGCAUUCAUACCACAGAUUUUCACCUGUAUGAUAAAUCUCACAGCAUUUGUUAAGGUGACAUAUUGUAAAUAGUGUUCUUGCAGGAUUGGAGGGAUUUAUAAUAAUUGAAAGGAUUUUUGUACUGUGUUCACCCAUCAUACUUGCUGUGGAAUUAAUGUUAGCAGCCCUGGCACAUCUUAGAGUUAGAUAUGUUGGCUUAAGCAGGUCAAACCAUCUUAUCCUGUUGCUGUCAUUGGUGAGUGAGAAUUUUUCUACAUUUUUUAUGGAUAUUGUUUUGUUUCUCCCUCCUGUAAGAGGUCAAUAUUGGUAGAGCAUAUUUAUUCACAAAAUUAUGAUAUGAAUUGACAUCCAAUUAUGCAAAUGAAUCCAAUUAAUUAACUCAUAUUUGUGCAGAUGAAUUCAGUGACUUUCAAAGUGAACAACUAGCAUCACCUAAAUUUCUCUAAACAACAAAUUCUAUGUAAUAAAUGAAUUCAGAUGACUGAAAAAAUCCUAGUAUCUCAACUUUCAAAUGCCACAAAUGUGCCAGUUUGCAUGAAUGUCUCCUGUUAUAAAUAUUAUUCACUAACCUUGCUUCCUUGAAACAAAUUUACUUAGGUAUUAAUUAACUCACAUUUUUAUCUUCUUAAAUCAGUGAAUAUUUGCUUCUGCCAUACAAUCUUUCAUGUUUUAUGUUCCAAAGCUGAGGAUAUAACCUGGGAAUGUGGCACAAUUACUGUGAUAGUACUUGUUUUCCUAACACACAAAUAAAUGAGUCAGGGUAUAGCUCUACAGAUGUGGAACCAGUCCUGCCCCAUUGCACAUAACUUACCAUGGGACAUGUGCCUCGGACUAUAGUUCCAACUCAAUGCAUUUGCAGUUAUUAAAUAUUUAAAUGUUCCUUUAUAUAAUUGAUAUUGCAUAUUGUAUUAGUCAGGGUUCUCUAGAGGAACAGAAUCAACAGGAAGUACAAUUAUAAAAGGAGAAUUUAUAAGAUUGGCUUAUAUUACUGGAAGCUGGAUAGUCAACAAUGGCCAUCUGCAGGUCAGACAGCUGGAAGGAAGAAUCAGUAGGUGCAAAGUCCAAGAGGCUGAAGCCUGGGCCUGAACAAGAGAGAUUAGCAGUGCUACUCUAGUUUGAAACCAAAGGUUUCUGGAGAAUCACCUUUGGAAGAGUAAAGAAGCAAGAGUCUGAUAUCCUCAGAUGAUGGUAGGAGCAAUCAAGAACCCAUUCAAGAAAAAGUCAACCAUGCAUCUGCUGCUGCUUCCUUGUUCUUCCAACUUUUAUUCCAUCCAAGUCAUCAUCAUAUUUGGUGCAGCUCAUUCUUAGGGAGGGUCUCCAUUUCAGUUGGCUAUCCUACAUGCUAACCAUUUCUAGACACAUAGACACACCCAUAAUCCUCUUAAUCCUAGGUAUCUCUUAAUCUGAUGAAGCUGACAAUUCAAAUUAACCAUUACACAUGUAGAAUAAAUAUUUAUAAUCAAUGGGAACCUUUUUUUUCAAUAAGAAAUUCCAAAAUACUUCUAGUUUAGAAGAUAGUAGGAAUAUAGAAAAACAAAUAGGAAAAAAAAAAACUUGAUUAAUAGAAGAACUCCACUUACUAGCUUUAGGGAAACAUGGUGGUUCAUGGCAUCCUCUCUUUAAACACUGACAAUUUCAAAACCCCUCUCUGCACCUAAUCAGAGUAAGACUUUGAGACUUAACCUCUGUGUACCCAAAUUCUCCUUGUAAUCAUGAAAGUAAUCUCAGCCCCCGCUUCAUGUUGAGAAGAUUCGAAAAUCACCAUGUGCUGCAUUUAGAGCAGGGAUUUUUACACACUUUGUGGUUUAAUUCUUAAUUUAAGCAUCAUGAAACCUGCUAGUGAGAAUGAAACCUUAAGUUCAAUUUUGCAGUUCCCACUUGAGAGAGGGCAAUGUUGGAUUUUAGUUUACAGGACACAGGUAGCCCAGAACUCCCAUUCCCCUGCAGGACCCUCUGGCUAGAACAACAGUGAACUGGCAGGACGGCAGCCAGUGAUGAGGCUGUAGGAAUCAUCUUCCUGUCACAGACUGUGGUUGGAGUUCUGGGCAAUUCCUGUCUUCUCUAUUACCUGUUAUUUUCUUCACUGGGUGCAGGUUAAGGCCUACAAAUUUGAUUCUUAAGCACUUGAUUGUGGUCAAUUUGUUUCUGCAUAAAGAAAGUCCCCAGACAGGGGCAAUUUUCAGUUUGGAAGUUUUCCUUGGUGAUUUUGGAUGUAAGCUGCUUUUCAAUGUUAACAGGAUGGGCAGUGAUGAGUCCAUUGUUACCAUAUGCCUUCUGAGUGUCUUCUAGGCCACCAUCUUCAGCCCAGUGAAUUCAGAUGGGCAGAGCUUUAAAAUGAAAGCUCCCAGGUACAUUGGUACCUCCGUAUACCUGGGCCGGAUCCUGUAACUCCUUGUAAGUAUGCCUUUCUUACUUACAUGACUGGGAAAGGGAGCUCCAAAAAUGUCAAGAUCUUGGUAGAUUUUCUGGUGCUCUAAUGACAAAGCCCUAGAAUCAUUGCUUGCAGCAAUCCUGUCACUCCCUGAUGCUGUGUGUGUGUGUGUGUGUGUGUGUGUGUGUGUGUGUGUGUGUGUGUAAGCAGGGGUGCUCAUGCUCUAGGCCAGCAGCUCCAUGGUGCUCAUUCUGCACAGGCAUUACCAGAGAAUGCAGCAUGUUUGCCCAGGUCCUACCCUGAGUACAGAGCCAACAAAACAAUUCUUGUCCUAGUGAGCUCUUUUGUAUUUUUAUACACUUUCCUGUAUCUUAAAUAAUCCCAAAUUGUUCCUGAUAGUUUUGGCUGCAAUAAUCUCUGGGUGCUUCCCAGCUUUCAACCCCUUUUUGCUAAUAAUCAAAGACACCAGCACAUUCAGCAUUCAGGCUAUUUUGCAUGUAUAAAAAAAUCUUAAAUUUCUAAUUCAUGAGGAAAAUGUAAAAUAUGUACUCUAUAAGGUUUUGUACAAUUUAUAGUUUUUUAUUAAUUCUUACCUACAGAAAUUUAAGCACAGUUAAUAUCAGUCAUAUCAUUUGUGAGUGGUGGUUUAGACACAUACCCUUGUAUUUAUAAAUGUGUGUGUAUGGUUUUAUAUGUGUGUUUGUGAACAUGAGCAUGCACACAUGCAUAUAUCUUGAUUGUUAUGAUCUGUCAAUAGUAAUUCUGAAAAAUUAUAUGUAAAUUUUAUACUUAAUUAGAACUAUUUCAAACUGAUUUCACAUAAUUUCAUAUUUUCUUGUUCUUCUGAUAGAUUAGUCGUGUUAAAAAUGUGGAAAGAAUUUUUCAUUUGUCUACUUUCAUGUUUAUGUCUUAGCUCUGUGUCUUUGAAGAUUUUUCCAAGUUAAUGUACUCCAAUGAUAUUUGCCUUUAGCAGGUAAAUUUAGUUAUUUUUAAUAUAGUAUAAGGAAAGUAAAAAGAGAAACAGAGACAAGAUGCAGCGGAAAGGUGGUUGCUCGUCCAAGCACCUGCAUUUAUUUAUACCAAUAGGUUACAUUAGGUCAUUACUGCCAUAACUACAUUAUUGUUUAUGGUAUCAGUAAAGUGGCUUAUUCUGCAGUUACAUUCUACAGUUACAAUAUGCAAUGUUAGGAACUUUGUGCAGCUCUCAAGAAAGUCCAUUGUCUGAAGUUACUGUUAGGUGGGCAGAUCCAGGAUCAGCAGAGCUUAGUGAAACAUUGUGGUUAUCUAGCAAGCAAGUUCCUUUAUUCACAGGAGCUAUGUGCCUGAGAUCAAAGUCAAGGCUGAUAAGACUAUAGAACAGAGAAUGGCAUUGCCAUUACAGCUAGAUGGUUCAUAUGUAUUAGUUAUCUUACUAGUUCCUAGUAAAAAACUGCAGGACAUUCUAUGGGUAGUAGUUAAGUAGUUUGUUACUCCCCAGGAGUUUGCUCACCAGAGGAAUGUUUCUCUAUGAUAUUUCCAUGGUCAGAAUCCCUACAAUAUAGAAAUGGACAGAAUGGGAAGCAAUUGUCCACUAAAAACCCCUACUCUGUUUCAUAUAUUUAAUGUCCACCUUGAUAAUAUACAUUAGGUAUAAUUUUUUAUUGUUACAAAUGAUUUUUAAAUCACCUAUAAACCAUCAAAGCAGUCAUAAAUUACUAAAGUAAAUUACUAAGUAAAAUUUUAUAAAGUAUAUACACUUUUGCCUUCAGCUUCUUCUACAUCAAAAUACAAGCUUGUCCAUCUCAAAGAUUCCUCUUUGUGCCUCUGCCAUAAUCAUAUUCAACAGGGACCAGUAUGUGACAUUAAAUACCAUAGAUCACUUUCAUUUGUACUUUCUAUAAAUGAAAAUGAUCAGCUUCAAUUUUUAUAUUUGACUUAGAAAAUUCUAUUUUCAUCGUAGUUUGUAUUUUUAUAUUUGGUUGGUAAUAGAAUUCAACUGCAGGAAUAUUAAUUACUUCAUGCCUUCCUCUCUGGAUAAGUCCUCCCCCCCAAAAAAAAAGUUCCAUGUGCUGGAAGCUUUGCACCCAGUGUGAAGGUUUUGGAGGAGGUAGAAACUUUGACGUGUGGAUGUAAGUACAAGGUGGCUGGGUCAUUGGGAGGUCAUGCUUAAAGGGAUAAAUGGUAAUGUCUGGAGUAUAUCAGUUCCCAUGAAAUUGGGCUGUCUUGCAGAGAGUUCUGGUGUCUCUGCUCUGUCGCUCCCUGUCCUGUCCUGUGGUCUGUUCUGUAUGUGCUCCCACUAUUGUGAUUUCACCUACUCUUAGUUCCUCAAAGAGUUGAGCAGAUGCUGGCACCAUACUCUUGAAUCUCCAGAACUGUAGGUCACUAAAUUUCUUUGUCAAAUACUCAGUCUUGGGUAUUUGGUUAUUGCAACAGAAAAAGAUAACAUGACAUGGUCAUUUUUUAGUUUGAAGUAUCAUGAUGAGGACUCACCUGUAGUUUCACAGUGUGUUUUUAAUGAUAAUUGUAAGAGUUUCUGCUGCUAUGUGUGUAAAGGUGAUUGAUUCAUUGAUUAUAGGUUUACAUCUUCUUGGCUUUAGAAUAUACUGACUGAGUUUAUCAAAUGUUUGUAUGAGUUUCAACUAAGUAGAAGCUCUUAUUUUAAUAGAAAUACUUUUAUAUGUCUUUAUUUAAUGUUAAUAACAUAGGUUCUGUUAAACAUAGAUGCAUAUAGUAAGACAUAUGCAUAGGGAGGUUCUCUCUUCAUUUUCUUCAAAGACAUCAAUUAAUAACUUAAAAAUUUACAUCAGAAAACCAUACAGAAUCAGCUUUUUAUAUGUGUUGGUAAUUAUUUAAGUCUUUUUAAAAAGUAAACAAUAAAUUUCAAUGUUUUCUGAAAAUGUACAAUAGAUACUUUUUCUCUCAUUUAUCAUCAUAUAUUCUAUAUUUUAAAACAUCUGGGAAAAUAUUUUGAGAAGUUUUGCCCUAAGACAUGGUAGCUAUUUGAGAGACAAGUAUGCCUAACCUGAUUUGGAGAUUGCUAAUGUGCACAUUGUAUUCAAAUAUCUUGUGAUACCCUAUGAAUAUGUACAAUUUUUAGUAUCAUUUAAUAAUAAAUACUUUUGGCUGGCCAGAGUGGUGCAUGCCUAUAAUCCCAGUGGCUUGGGAGGCUGAGCUAGAAAGAUGCAAGUUUAAGACUAGUCUCAGAAAAUAAGUGAAGCCCUAAGCAACUUAGCUAGAGCCUGUCUACAAAUAAAAAGGCCUGCAGAUCAGUAGUGAACAGCUCCUGGGUCAAUCCUUGCUACCAGUAAUAACAACAGUAAAUUAAUCAAUUAAAACUUUCCUUUUGUUUCAUAGUGUCAUUGGCUCACAUACUUACUGUCUUCAAUUCCAGCAGUAAUGUAAAAAGAACCUCUUAUACCCUAUAUCUCUGACUGUGUCCUCUGCUGCAUCUCUGUCUUCUGCUUUAAGGGCCCAUGUAAAUAGAGUAGGACAAUCAGACACCAGUGUGUACACCAGUGUAUAUGAGAAAAAUGUCUCCCUCUCUUAUGAUCUGCCAAUCAGCAGUCUUAGCAUCGUCUUUAAACCCCAGUUAACCCAAUGUGACCUCAGGAGUGACUGCAAGAGCAUUCUCCAAGUCGUCUUGGAACAACCCUGUUCACAGUCCCACGUUAUCCCUUGUAGUUCUCAGGACAACUGCAAAAUAUACUGAGAAAGUAACACCAUAAGCUAGGAAGAAACUAAGUGGAACAACAUAACUUCUAUUCCAGUUUUCCUAGAAUCAGUAUGUCCUUUAAUGAUUUAGAGAGUGUUGUGGUUCUAGGGCAUAAAACCCAAGGUGGACAUCUUCCUGGGGUCCUUCAGCUUUGGUGUAAGUGGAGCAUUCUUGGAUGAAACUGAAUCCUCUGUGUGGAGCCUUCAUGACUGCCAGGGACAAGCUUGGAAUGAAUCCAAAGCUUCUGCAUGCCUUUGUUCCCUGUCCGUAAGUAACAAACCUGUCUCAUGUACCCAGGGUGUGUGGAUGUUCUGUUUCAUCAGACUAAAAGAAGUUGAUUUCCAGUCCAAAGUGAAUGUGCUUUAAAUAAUAUCUGGGGUUGGGAAUUUUCUAUGGCAUGUUUUGAAUUUUAAAAACCAUAGAAAUUGUAAAUAUACCUACAAAAAAUUUACCCUUAAUGAGUAUUAGGAAAAAUAAUAAGAGGACACAGAAACAAGAUGUAGAGGCAGGAAGAAAAAUGGCUGCUUUUCCAAGUGACAAUAUUUAUUUACACCGAUAGGUUACAUUAGGUAAUUAGGACCAUAAUUACAUUUUUAUUGCUUAGAGUACCAGUAACGUAGUUUAUUCUGCAGUUAUAUUCCACAGUUACAAUAUGCAAAGUCAGGAGCUUUUUGCAGCUCUUAAGAAAUUCAUUGUACAAAGUAACUUUUAAGCGGGCAGAUCCAGGAACAAGGGAGCUUAUUGAAACAUUGUAGUUAUCCCAGCAAGCAAAUUCCUUUAUUCUCAGGAAUUAUAUGCCUAAAAUCAAGGUUGAGACUGAACAGACUCUAACACAGAGCUUCUUCGUAAAGGACAUUGCUACAGCAGAGAGGCAUCCCAUGGCUUUACACAAAAUUUUCCAGCAGCCAGGCAUUUUGUGUCUUUACAGAGAAACUUCCUAGCAGCCAGGCUUUCUGUGCCUUUGCACAGAAACUUUCUACCCAGCAAUCAUGCCACAAUCAUGAAGUUUAUCAGAGACCCCAAUCCCAAACACAGAACCCUCAUAGAUGAUCCCUGUGAUGAUUUACUAAAAGAAAGAACAGCGGGGCUGGGGAUGUGGCUCAAGUGGUAGCGCGCUCGCCUGGCAUGCGUGCGGCCCGGGUUCGAUCCUCAGCACCACAUACAAACAAAGAUGUUGUGUCCGCCAAUAACUAAAAACUAAAUAUUAAAAAUUUUCUCUCUCUCUCCCCUCUCUCACUCUCUCUUUUAAAAAAAAAAGAAAGAACAGAGGUGGUGGAUUAGACUUACACUUUUAGCUUGUCUUUUAUUUUUAUAAUAAUAUUAUAUAUAUGUAGAUAUAGAUGGAUGGAUAGAUAGAUAUUGAAGCUGAUAAAGCUUAAAUAUUGUGUGCCAUUUUAGUUUUUAUUCUUUAUUGAAAUAUCAUUAACGUGUGUUUAAGGAAUGCAAUGAUAUAUAUAUAUAUAUAUAUAUAUAUAUAUAUACACACACACACACACACACACACACAUAUGUGUAUAUAUACAUAUAUACACAUAUAUGUCUAUGUUUACAUAUAUAUGUAUAUAUUAAAUGAUCAUCACAAAGUAGUUAUCAUUUUCACUUCACAGAGAUUCCUUUUCGAAUCUUCAUGUCUUUUUUUUUUUAACUCUGCAUUUUUUCUCCCCCUCUCCUAUUUUCUCAUCACUCUUUUAAUAUCUAGAACAUUCCAGACCACUUGCAUAUAUAGUGAAAUAGUGCAUGCAUGGAUAAAGCACCAUCUUAGGAGAGACUGAGAAGACUUUAAUUUCAAACCUUGGGUUCAUCCCUAUCUGUUAGAAGACAUACCAUAACUAUAAAAAAUGGAAAUAGAAAAAUCUAAAUUCCAGACCUAACAUAAUCAAGUGUCUCAUUUCCUAUCAUUUCAGUUUCUCUGUCUCAUACUGUGUGUUUCUUUUUGCCUCAUAUUGUCUUUAUCUGCUGUCUCUUUGUACAUGUGUAUGCUUUUAUAUAAAAUAAAUUUAAUCUUAAUAAAAUCUGUCAUCUAUACAGUUGGUGUAUUUUUAAGGAAAUGUUAAAAUAUGAUGCUGAGACUACUAAAAUUGUCCUUUUAGAAACUUUUCAUAUUUUCUUCAUUAUUUCCUUUGAAAAUCCAUUCUGAAUUUACAUAUCCAUGUUGUGGGUGAGGAUUGAUGUUUUCCUGUUCCAAGUACACUUCAGGUUCAAGUAAUUCAGGUUCCAGUGAAAGUGUCUAGUUGCACUUUCUUUCCCUCUCUCUCAUUUCUCCCCCAAGUCUAUACCCUCAUCCUCAGGGACCACUUUCCCAUGAAACACUGAGUGCACUCUACCUCUGUGCUCAUGCUUGGAAAUCUCUGGCAAUCCCACAAAGCAGCACCUAAAUCAUUCUUGGGGACAAACUCUACCAUGAGCCCCUGUGCUUAGAGGAAUCUUUGUUGUCAUGAUUUACCAUGGUGAAUGACAGCAGAGCCUGCAGACCUCGGGCAAUAUCUUGUUCUUCUCAAGACUGCUGUCAGAAUCCUGGACAUGUAUCUCUUCUCUGCCAUCAUCUCUUCCUCAUAACUCACAACAGGGUGUUCUUUCCAUAUGAUUCCCAGGCAUCUGUGUACACCAGCUCCUGGUCACAUUUUCUAAGGGACUUCUCCAAGCAAUGGAAGCAUUGCUAGUUCUAUUCUCACCCAGCCUUGUCCUGCUACUGGCCCUGUCCUCACCUGACUCUUCUCCUUGGCCAGGUAUCCACCAUGAAGAUCUUCUCACCACAGUAACCCUGAACUCUGGAGGAGGUGAUCUUGACCUGUGUGAGACCCUUGUUUUUAAAAAAACUUGGUUCAGUCAUUGAGUCCUCUUAAUGUCCUUUGGGAUCCCCUAUAUGCAGUGUGUACAUCACACAGGACAUUUUAGGGGCCAGUAUGUAAAGAAGCUCAAAUCUUCUUCCCACAUCAUUGGCUCAGACUCACUGUAUUAUCCAACACAAAGGAGGCCAAGGGGAAAACAGUUGAUAAGCAAAUACUAACAACCCAUCCAACUGAUCUGUGACUCCUGAGGCUUCCCCCAAAGAGAGUAUGUAUGGAAAGGAGAGAGAAAUCAGAGGAAAAAAAAAUAAAAUAAAAAAAGAUGGUACCAGUUCAGCCCAGCUCUGCCAUGGACUAACAUGGUAGUUUGCACUCAUAUGCUGAAUCUCCUGAAGCUUUUGUACAUCAGGUUACAUGAAGCUAAAAUGAAUAGAUCAGUAAUUGAUGAGGACUGAUUGAAGAAAUGCAUAGAUGUGUGAACUUUAAAUGAAUAAAUACCAGCUUGCAAAAACUUUAAGCCAUGCGAGGACUCUGAUAAUAUGAGGCAGGACAUGUGACAAAGCUGAUUAUUCCUGCUUGUGGGAGAAGUGUUCUUCAAGAGGUAUCCAGUCUCCUAUGGAUACCACACCCAAAGCCAGAAGGAUGUGCUCAGCGUGUGGUCCCUGUGUUCCAGCUCUGCAGCUUGAAGGGCCCAGUGUUCCAGCUCCCUCUUUCUCAAAAAAGAGGGAGAAUCCCAGUCCAGCUUUGCCCAGAUCUAAACAGCUUUCCACACCCUCAAAACAAGGGGAACUGGCAAGGUACGGAGCUGGCCUUGGACACCUUGCACUUUUCAUGGAAAGGGAGUAAAUGUUUGUGGUUGUGAAUGUUUCCUAUCGGUUCUAACUGGAUUCUAGGAGGCCUCCAGUUCAGCUCAAAAUCAAUCCUGGGGGCAAACAGAGCUGAAUGUGAUCCCUAGAAGCAGACACGUGAAGUACUGAGGAUGACUGAGGGGACUCAGAGAGAAGGAGUUCACACUUAGAGAAUAUUUCACAUUGAUUUAUUCUCAUUCUCUGUGACAUGCAUGUAGUAGAAUAAAUUUAUUUUAAAAUUAUAAUAAUUAGCAUACCAUAGGAAUGUGUGGAAAAUGGAAGUAGAAGGAUAUAAUAAAAAAUGUUAAAAUGUUUUGUUUUUUAAGAUAGUAGAAUUUUAAAUCAAUGACCAUGGUGGCUUUUUAUCUGUUUUGAAUUUUCUAUGAUGAAAUAAAAUAUUAUACUGUAUAUUUGACAAUUAUUUUUCCCUUUGUAUUUUAGAUUUAAAAAAUUAUGAUUCAUAUCAGAAAGAAUUGGAAAUGCACUUGAAUUCUUCAUAUUAUUUAAUUUUACUAAUAUUUUAAACUCAGAAUUUUAUAAAGCAAAUAUGAUGACUUUACCAAAGCAUGUAAUUAUAGUUUGAGGACAUUUCUUAGAUUAAUAAGUGAGAAUAAUUUCCAGUAACUUGGGAGGAGAACUUCUUCCUGUUUAAAAAUAGUUUUCCUAAUUCUUCCUUCAAAAUGACAAAAACACUAUUUCCAUAAAGUUAUUACUUGUUAGAUGAAUGGGAAAUAAUAAUUCUGUUGAACUUUAAUAAAUUUUAUACAAAUGUUGUCCUAGUUAUGGCAGUUUGGCAUCUUCUCUAAUAUUACCUUGAAUGAUAAAAAAGCAAUGUUAGCUAAUUAGGAUUUUGAAUAACAGACAGAGAAAUUAGGAAGUGGGAAGGAGGAUUUCAUUUCCUUAUUCCUACAGAGAGGGCAGCUGAACCCCAGGCUUCCACUGAUAGAAACCUAGAGUUAAGUUGCUAAAUAGUGUGAGGACAGACACAUACAAUUGUUGAAUCAGUGCUACAAUGACCAGUUUGAUUUCUUUUUUUUUAUGUGUGCCUUGAGAGAAUGAUAGUAAAUUUUCAAAAUUAAUCUCAAAAAUUUCCCUUUGUGAUACUUUAUUUUGGUGUCUAACAUACUGAAAAACUUGCCUAUUUUGUUCACAAAUUAACAGUGUGGGUUGCCUUGUUAUAUUUUCUGCAAUCUACCUCAGAGACUCUUUGUAGGUUGAAAUUCGUAUUUGAAGAUAGCUGUUAAUUCUCAAGAGUUUAAUCAAGCCCAAGUUUAAUCAAGUACUACCAACUGACCAACUGUCAUCAGAGGAGAAAGAUUGCUGCUUACUAACAAAUUGUUUGAUUUCUAAAAUCCAUUGUUUACAUUCAUAAAAUUUAUUUUUCAUUUUUUCUAAUUCUAUUAAAGCUUUGAGUCAAUGUUUAAAAUGUAUGCAUUUCAGUAUUAUAACAUGUAUCACAUUACUUAUUAUAUAUGCUUUCAAAUAGAUAUACUAUGUAACAUAUGCAAUGUAUAAAAUUCAUUGAUAUUUAUUAGAUUAUAUUAUACUACAUGUAGUAUAUAUUACAUAUUUUGCUAAUAUUACAUGUGUACAUAUCAUAUUUUAUAUAUAAUAGUAUCAUGUAAUAUUCAAUUCCACUUUUUACUUAUAUACCCUCAAAAAAACUUUACCACAAGAAAAUAUAGGAAUUUCAUGCAUGCAUGCAUGCAUUUAUAUGUGUGUGUGUGUGUGUGUGUGUGUGUGUGUGUGUGUGUAUAUAUAUAUAUAUAUAUUUAUGACUUACAAAUAAACAUACCAAAUUAUUUUAAUUGUACAUUUGAAUAAUUUUUUACUUACCAAUAUUUGAACAGUAAGAUUCAUGAAGCUGUGGGUGUAGUUAAGUGGUAGAUCAGUUGCCUAGCCUGUGCAAGGCCCUGAAUUUCUCUUUUAGCACAACAAAAUUAAAUAAAUAAUAAGAUUUAGAGAUGAGUGUGACAUAAUUCAUCAUUAUUUGAUGUUAACCACAGUAAAAAUAUUUAUAAGAAACUCAUAUUAAUUUCCAAGAAGGCCAUAAUGAUAGCAGUGAUAUUUAAUCAUAUACUUGAAGAAUCUACUCAAAACAAUCUUAAGGAAAAAAAAUCCUAGGGAAAAAAAUAUAUAUAUUUCCAUAAGCAAUAGAAACAUUAUAAAUGUUUAAAAAUUUUACUUUUAGUUGUUUUGCUAAUUACUGUUUAUUUACAAAACAAUGAAAUUUGAACUACAAUUAUAACAUAUGGUGCAAGUUAGUGAUAUUAGCAUAUCUUAUCACCUUAAGCACAACAGUUAUUUUAACCCUCAGUAAAUGUUUUAAAGAAUUGCCUGGCCAGACGUGGUGAUGCACACCUUUAAUCCCAGAGACUCAGGAGGCUGGACAGGAAGAUUGCAAGUUUGAGACCAGCCUCAGCAAUACAAUGAGGCUCUAAGGAACUUAUCAAGAACUUCUCUCAAAAUAAAACACUAAAAAGAACUGGUAAUUUGGCCCCAGUGGUUAAGUGCCUGUGGGUUAAAUCCCUGAUUUAAAAAAAUUCUAGAAAUCUAUCAGUGGAAGAAAAUGGGCAGUGGAAAAAUAAGCUGCUUAACUCUGUUAUUUUUUUUUAUACCAGUGAUUGAACCCAGAGGAACUUAAACACUGAGUCACAUCCCUAGACCCUUUUAAUAUUUUAUUAAGAGACAGGGACUCACUGAGUUUCUUAGGGCCUCACUAAGUUACUGAGACUGGCUUUGAACACAUAAUCCUUCUGCUUCAGCCUCCCAAGCCACUAGCAUUACAGGCAUGCAUCACAAAGUACAGCUCUGGCAAAUUUAUUUUUCACAAGGUUCUCAAGUUAAUUCAAGUGAGAAUAGCAUCUUCCACAAAUAAGAUAGGAAUAAAAUUGCAUAUUUAAUGCAAAAGAGUGAUAAUGUAUUUUACAUGGGAUUAUAUAAAUAAUUAACUCAGAAUCAUUCUGGACUUAAAUAUAACAGCUAAAAUUAUUUAAAAAAAUAAAAAUAGUACUGAAUCAAAUGUUCUUGAAUUAGACUGACCAGUGGAGCCUUAGAUAUGCUUCAAAAAUACAUACACACAAAUAAUUAAAUAAAUUUGACUUUAAAAAUUUUCUGUGAAAUUUUAUACUAAACAAUAGAAUGCAUAGAUUUUAAAUUAGUGAUAUAAAUCAAAAUAGCUGCAGAUUAAAUGAUAUUAAUAUAGUUGUUCCUGUAGUACCAUCAUUGAGAUUUCAGAGAAUGAAUAAGUUAUGUGAUUUCCUUGCUUCAGGUUCCCAAUUUGUCAAAUUGCUAUAAUUCUCUUCUCUGAAAGAUACUGUAGAUUGUUCCUAUUCUAUUUAAAGAUACUGUAGAUUGUUCCUACUCACAGUUCAUUGUAUAAAAUAUAAACUACAAUUAUAAUUUUAUAGGAAAACUUGACACUUAAUAUUCCAUAAGAUUCAACUGCUAUUUUCUCUUAAUCAAUUCAGUAGAAAAUUGGAAUAGCAUUACAAUUUUAUUUGGAGUCCAAAAUGACUAGAAAUUACUUAGAGAAUAUAAUUGAAUCAUUAGCAGGUCUGUUCUUUUAAGGCUUUUCUGUUUUUCAAAUGUUUUGUUUUUAAUUGAAAUAUAACAAUUGAACAUGCUUAUGGCAUACAGUUUGAUAUGUUGGCAUAAGUAUACAUUGUGUAAUGAUUAAAUCAGGGCAAUACACAAUUUUUUUCUGUGCAGAAAGAAAAAGGAAAGUAAAGACAAUUACAUUAGGUGUUUUGGUUUGUGUGGUUUUGAAGAUCUGUUUAUACUCACUUUUUAGCACUCACUGACGUUUUUUAAGAAGCCAGUUGAGUUCAAAGCCCAGCCUCCUCUUUUCUCUGGCUCUUACAGUGCACUGCCACUUUGUACCCGCCAGAAUCGCCCCAGAGCAAGGAACCCUACAUACAGGGAAACUGUGUACAUCCCAGGACACACAAAAUUAUUGAGACUGAUCAGUCAACAACAAGCCCUACUGACUAGCUGACCUCCUACAAACUAUAUUUCCUCUACAGAUCUGUUUUACCCUGUCACUGGCUAAAACCCCCUGGCAGAAAUCUUGUGUGUUCAAUAUCAUAACUUACAAGUAGGGGUGACUUUUGUCUGUACAAAUGUCAUUGUGUUGGGUCCUGAGAACAAAUAAAGUGUCCAAUUAAAAAAUAAAUAAAUAAACCUAAGAAAUGAAGGGAAAAAAAUGUGAAGAUUGUAGAAAAAUUUCCAGACCCCUUUGAUAACAACAUAAAAUCUUGCAUUCGCAAUGGAAAAUACCUUGAUGGUUUCUUGAUAAAAUACUAAAAUAAGCAGAACCCUCCCCUAAAAAGUUCCAUAAAUAACUGAAAGCAUGUGCUCAGAUGAGUUCUCAUUAACACAUGAGUAUUUAUAACUGAAUGAGACUCAAUGGUGAAAACAACACAAUAUUAAUGGACAAUAGAAAAUUGGUAUGUCUGCAUUGUAAUAUUAUUCAGCAAUAUUAUUUGGCAGUUCUAGAACUGAACUCAGGGUCUUGUGCCUACUAGGAAAGCACUUUACCUCUGAGAUACAACUUCAGUCACAUCCAGCAAUCAUGGUUAGUGAGAGCACUAAAAUAUUACAAUGGAUAUGUAGCUGGGGAACGGUACACUAAGGGAAAUGAAUCAGAGAAAAAAAAAGUGCCAUGUAUUUUAUAUGUGAUAUACUAUUUUGAGAGUAAGAAAAUCAAUUGAUGAAAAAUGCCAGGAGCCAAGUGGAGCAGAAACAAGGAAUAACUGCUGGUGGGAACUGGUGGAUCUGCAUGUAAAAUAUAAAAAGUUACAAAAUCGUACCCUCUAAAGUUGGUUACAAAAGUAAACUUAGUUUUAUUAAAAAAUAAAUAAAUAAACCUAAGAAAUGAAGGAAUUAAAUUCUUUGCCAGAAUUAAAAAAAAAUCAUGCAGUUUUUAAAGAAUAAAGCAGUCAAGGCCCCAACCCAUAAAAUAAGGCAAUAAAUCAUAAAUGAUGGCAGCUGGUUGAGCUGAAUGUAAGUACAUUUAUUUACAUGAACAUGCUGUUGCUAUAUGUGUAUGAGAGUCAGUUAAUUGUUCUUUUCCUCAGUGUGUAUUUUAUUAUAAUACAUACAAGUAUUAUCUCUAUCAUGACCAAUAUUUGAAACUUGCCAAGUUUUUACUAUAUUUACAUAAUUCAGUAUACUUAAAUAUGCAUUGUUUCUUUGUUUUGCAGAGCUGUGGAUCAAGUACAGGGGCAGGCACAAGUACCGCAAGCCUUUCACCGCUGAGCCACACUUGGAGUGAAUCUGAUCUCUAGUCCUGAUUAGUUGUCUGUUUAUGAAAGGUCAUCUAAUGCCACAUUUUUUUUUAAUUUUUAGUGUGUAUAUUUCUUAUAUUUCUUAUGGUUGAAAUAAAACUUUGUCACAUCCUAGUGGCAUUUUGUGAUGGUGA